rnacentral:rRNA from 1 species
GCUUGUCUCAAAGAUUAAGCCAUGCAUGUCUAAGUAUAAACUGCUUAUACUGUGAAACUGCGAAUGGCUCAUUAAAUCAGUCAUAAUUUAUUUGAUGGUACCUACUACUCGGAUAACCGUAGUAAUUCUAGAGCUAAUACGUGCGCACAACCCGACUUCUGGAAGGGUCGUAUUUAUUAGAUAAAAGGCCAGCCGGGCUCUGCCCGACCUGCGGUGAAUCAUGAUAACUGAGCGAAUCGUAUGGCCUCGCGCCGACGAUGGUUCAUUCAAGUUUCUGCCCUAUCAGCUUUCGAUGGUAGGGUAUUGGCCUACCAUGGCAUUGACGGGUAACGGAGAAUUAGGGUUCGAUUCCGGAGAGGGAGCCUGAGAAACGGCUACCACAUCCAAGGAAGGCAGCAGG